rnacentral:rRNA from 1 species
CUACGGGCGGCAGCAGUCGGGAAUAUUGCGCAAUGGAGGAAACUCUGACGCAGUGACGCCGCGUAUAGGAAGAAGGUUUUCGGAUUGUAAACUAUUGUCGUUAGGGAAGAUAAAAGACAGUACCUAAGGAGGAAGCUCCGGCUAACUACGUGCCAGCAGCCGCGGUAAUACGUAGGGAGCAAGCGUUUUCCGGAUUUAUUGGGUGUAAAGGGUGCGUAGACGGGAAGACAAGUUAGUUGUGAAAUCCCUCGGCUUAACUGAGGAACUGCAACUAAAACUAUUUUUCUUGAGUGUUGGAGAGGAAAGUGGAAUUCCUAGUGUAGCGGUGAAAUGCGUAGAUAUUAGGAGGAACACCGGUGGCGAAGGCGACUUUCUGGACAAUAACUGACGUUGAGGCACGAAAGUGUGGGGAGCAAACAGGAUUAGAUACCCUCGUAGUC